UGGCUCAGGAUGAACGCUAGCGGCAGGCUUAACACAUGCAAGUCGAGGGGUAUAGUUCUUCGGAACUAGAGACCGGCGCACGGGUGCGUAACGCGUAUGCAAUCUACCUUUUACAGAGGGAUAGCCCAGAGAAAUUUGGAUUAAUACCUCAUAGCAUAGCAGCUUCGCAUGAAGCCACUAUUAAAGUCACAACGGUAAAAGAUGAGCAUGCGUCCCAUUAGCUAGUUGGUAAGGUAACGGCUUACCAAGGCUACGAUGGGUAGGGGUCCUGAGAGGGAGAUCCCCCACACUGGUACUGAGACACGGACCAGACUCCUACGGGAGGCAGCAGUGAGGAAUAUUGGACAAUGGGCGCAAGCCUGAUCCAGCCAUGCCGCGUGCAGGAUGACGGUCCUAUGGAUUGUAAACUGCUUUUAUACGAGAAGAAACACUACUUCGUGAAGUAGNCUUGACGGUAUCGUAAAAAUAAGGAUCGUGCUAA
rnacentral:rRNA from 1 species